GACGUAGGGCGCGAGCGUUGUCCGGAUUUAUUGGGCGUAAAGAGCUCGUAGGCGGCUUGUUACGUCGACUGUGAAAACCCGCGGCUCAACCGUGUGGUCUGCAGUCGAUACGGGCAGGCUAGAGUUCGGUAGGGGAGACUGGAAUUCCUGGUGUAGCGGUGAAAUGUGCAGAUAUCAGGAGGAACACCGGUGGCGAAGGCGGGUCUCUGGGCCGAUACUGACGCUGAGGAGCGAAAGCGUGGGGAGCGAACAGG
rnacentral:rRNA from 1 species